UCGGCGACGCCGCCCGGGGGCCCCGUGCCAGGCCCAGGAGAGGGUCCGCCGUCCCUGCGUCCCGCCUCUCCCGGCCCCGCUCCGCCCACAGAGUCCGAUGGCGGCGGCGGCGCUGAGGAACCUGCCUCAGUGUGACCUUUGAGGAUGUGGCCGUGUACUUCUCCUGGGAGGAAUGGGAUCUCCUUAAUGAUGCUCAGAGAUGCCUGUACCACAACGUGAUGCUGGAGAACUUGGCACUUAUAACUUCCUUGGGUUGUUGGCAUGG